rnacentral:miRNA from 1 species
AUAUACAUACACACACCAACAC